UUUAAUAUACCUUAACUAUCAAAGGGUUAUUUUGAUGAAAUAAACAUAAUAUAAACUAUUUAUUAAAC
rnacentral:tRNA from 1 species